rnacentral:antisense_RNA from 1 species
CAGGACGAGCCGCAGACAAAACUCCUCAGACACCAGAUUAAAGAAGGAAGGAACUUUAUUCGGCAGACUUGCGUCUCAAAAGCCGAGCUCCCCAAAAUUAUAUGAAAGAAAAAAAAUCUCAUUUUACCAGGGAGAAACUGAACCAUUCUGACCUCUGGUUAUGGCUGUCUUCCAAACAGUUUAUAUAACCUGUCUGGGAAAUUGGAGAUUGUUCAUAUCUAACUCUGCAGUUACAAAAGGACCAUGUCUCAUGGAAUUAUCCACGCUCAGAUCUUCCGCAUGGCUCAAAACCAUUUUUGGGAUAUGGCAAUGUCAAGAUAACCCCCUAUUCUGUCAAGUCUUUAAACAAAUUUU